rnacentral:rRNA from 1 species
AGAGUUUGAUCCUGGCUCAGGAUGAACGCUAGCGGCAGGCUUAACACAUGCAAGUCGAGGGGCAGCACGGGUAGCAAUACUUGGUGGCGACCGGCGCACGGGUGAGUAACGCGUAUGCAACCUACCCAUAACAGGGGGAUAGCUUUCGGAAACGGAAAUUAAUACCCCAUAAUAUUAUAAUACCGCAUGGUAUAAUAAUUAAAGGUCCGACGGUUAUGGAUGGGCAUGCGUGCCAUUAGUUUGUUGGUGAGGUAACGGCUCACCAAGACUACGAUGGCUAGGGGGUCUAAAAGGAUGGUCCCCCACACUGGUACUGAGACACGGACCAGACUCCUACGGGAGGCAGCAGUGAGGAAUAUUGGUCAAUGGGCGAGAGCCUGAACCAGCCAUGCCGCGUGCAGGAAGACGGCCCUACGGGUUGUAAACUGCUUUUGUAUAGGAAGAAAACGCUCUACGUGUAGGGCACUGACGGUACUAUACGAAUAAGCACCGGCUAACUCCGUGCCAGCAGCCGCGGUAAUACGGAGGGUGCAAGCGUUAUCCGGAUUUAUUAGGUUUAAAGGGUGUGUAGGCGGAUUUCUAAGUCAGUGGUGAAAUCCUGUAGCUUAACUACGGAACUGCCAUUGAUACUGGUAAUCUUGAGUAUAGUUGAAGUAGGCGGAAUGUGUAAUGUAGCGGUGAAAUGCUUAGAUAUUACACAGAACACCGAUUGCGAAGGCAGCUUACUAAGCUAUUACUGACGCUGAGGCGCGAAAGCGUGGGGAGCAAACAGGAUUAGAUACCCUGGUAGUCCACGCAGUAAACGAUGAAUGUUAGUCGUCGGGAUGCAAGUCAUUUCGGUGAUGCAUUUAACACAUUAAACAUUCCGCCUGGGGAGUACGGUCGCAAGAUUAAAACUCAAAGGAAUAGACGGGGACCCGCACAAGUGGUGGAGCAUGUGGUUUAAUUCGAAAAUACGCGAAGAACCUUACCUAGCCUUGACAUUGAUAGAAUCUUCCAGAGAUGGAGGAGUGCCUUUCGGGGAACUUGAAAACAGGUGCUGCACGGCUGUCGUCAGCUCGUGUCGUAAGAUGUUGGGUUAAGUCCCGCAACGAGCGCAACCCUCGUCAUUAGUUACGAACAGUUCGGCUGAGGACUCUAAUGAGAGUGCCUUCGUAAGGAGGAGGAAGGUGAGGACAACGUCAAGUCAUCAUGGCCCUUACGGCUAGGGCGACACACGUGCUACAAUGGUUAGGACAAUGAGAAGCGAUACCGCGAGGUGGAGCAAAUCUAUAAACCUAAUCUCAGUUCGGAUUGUAGUCUGCAACUCGACUACAUGAAGCUGGAAUCACUAGUAAUCGUAGAUCAGCCAUGCUACGGUGAAUACGUUCCCGGGUCUUGUACUCACCGCCCGUCACACCAUGGGAGUUGAUUUCACCCGAAGCGGGGAAGCUAAACUGGCUACCCUCCACGGUGGAAUUAGCGACUGGGGUGAAGUCGUAACAAGGUAACC